rnacentral:rRNA from 1 species
UACGAAGGGGGCUAGCGUUGCUCGGAAUCACUGGGCGUAAAGGGUGCGUAGGCGGGUCUUUAAGUCGGGGGUGAAAUCCUGGAGCUCAACUCCAGAACUGCCUUCGAUACUGGAAGACUUGAGUCCGGGAGAGGUGAGUGGAACUGCGAGUGUAGAGGUGAAAUUCGUAGAUAUUCGGAAGAACACCAGUGGCGAAGGCGGCUCACUGGACCGGUAUUGACGCUGAGGUGCGAAAGCGUGGGGAGCAAACAGG